rnacentral:rRNA from 1 species
ACUCAAAUGAAUUGACGGGGACCCGCACAAGCGGUGGAGCGUGUUGUUUAAUUCGACGAUAAACGAAGAACCUUACCAAGGUUUGACAUCCUGCGAAUUUCUUCGAAAGAAGAAAGUGCUUUUAGAGCGCAGUGACAGGUGCUGCAUGGCCGUCAUCAGCUCGUGUCGUGAGAUGUUUGGUUAAGUCCAUCAACGAGCGCAACCCUUUUGUUCAGUUGUAUUUCUCUGAACAGACUGCCCUGGUAACAGGGAGGAAGGAGGGGAUGAUGUCAGGUCAGUAUUGCCCUUACACCUUGGGCUACAAACACGCUACAAUGGCCGGUACAAAGGGCUGCCAACCCGCAAGGGGGAGCAAAUCCCAUCAAAGCCGGUCUCAGUUCGGAUUGUAGGCUGAAACUCGCCUGCAUGAAGCCGGAAUCGCUAGUAAUGGCAGGUCAGCUAUACUGCCGUGAAUACGUUCCCGGGUCUUGCACACACCGCCCGU